rnacentral:rRNA from 1 species
GACGAACGCUGGCGGCGUGCUUAACACAUGCAAGUCGAACGGAAAGGCCCUGCUUUUGUGGGGUGCUCGAGUGGCGAACGGGUGAGUAACACGUGAGUAACCUGCCCUUGACUUUGGGAUAACUUCAGGAAACUGGGGCUAAUACCGUAUAGGAGCUCCUGCUGCAUGGUGGGGGUUGGAAAGUUUCGGCGGUUGGGGAUGGACUCGCGGCUUAUCAGCUUGUUGGUGGGGUAGUGGCUUACCAAGGCUUUGACGGGUAGCCGGCCUGAGAGGGUGACCGGCAACAUUGGGACUGAGAUACGGCCCAGACUCCUACGGGAGGCAGUAGUGGGGAAUAUUGCACAAUGGGAGGAAGCCUGAUGCAGAAACGCCGCGUGCGGAAUGACGGCCUGCGGGUUGUAAACCGCUUUCGCCUGUGACGAAGCGUGAGUGACGGUAAUGGGUAAAGAAGCACCGGCUAACUACGUG